GAGGUGGCUUCCGGCCGCCAGGCGAGACUCCGCGGGAAAACUCCCUGCUAGAGAGACUAGGAGAUUUGGGGCUGCGGCCGUUUCCUCCGGAGCACCCACGGGACUGUGUGCUGGGGUCCCUCCACCGGCUGUGUCCUUUAUUCUUCUUUCUCACCCAACGAUUUACCUGAACGGUUAUAAAGUGCACGUUAUUUCCCUAAGCACUUUGAGUAUAUUGGCCCACUGCAUUCUGGACUUCAAAAUUUCUGAUGCGAAAUAUGCUGAUACUUUUGUUGAAGAAAUCUGGUCCUUCUUACUGAUGUGUUGCUCUUCUUCAUGGCUCGUGAAAACUAUUAGAGUCAUCCAAGGGUGGGAAGAGAGAUCAGCAACGUUAACUGGGUGUCAAGAAAACAUACCGAGAUUGAAGCCAUCCACUUCUGCAGGAACACCGAAAAGAAAGGACUGUGAAGACAACCAGAGUGGGAAGGAACCUCAGAAACCUUUGGACCAACAGAGGAAAAAGCCCAGAGGUGCAGGACAUAGAUCAAAACCAGUCGCAUGCGAGUCAUUCUAGGAUCCGGCCAAAGUUAAUUAACAGAGGGCCAUUCAGUCUCCACCGAGUCAAACAAUAAUUAGGUUAGUUAGGGUCUUUGAGCCCCAACACAGUCUAGACUCUGAGACACUGCAAUAUAACAAUAUUCUUCUGGUUUCUUCUCCAUUCCAAAUCUAUCUUCCUAAAAUACUAAAUUUUAAGAGUGAAAGUGAACUUGUGAACAUAAACAGGUAAAAUGUGGGUGUGUGUCCAGAAUGGUGACAGACAGGGAGAACUGCUGAAUAUAACUUAUCAGAACCUUACAAACUGGCCUUCCCUCAUGAUCCACCUAGGGUUUCUUUUUACUAGUCAGGUUCCACAGGAAAAUGUGAGAACUUAUACUUAGGGAAGAAAGACAUUACUCAGGUCCCUGCAAGGCUGGAAAAUGGGAAUGAUUCUCCACUUUCCCCUCCAGAUUUAAGCACUACAAAGACUGUCAACAUCUCUUGGCAUUUUGUACAGUACAGAGAGAUAGACACCCUACAUUGUGUAAUGUUUAUAUUUAAUAUCAGUGCUGCUUUCCGUCUCCAUUGAGUUCCCACAUUCAGCUCACUCACAGCGCUCCAAAGGCCUAGGAUAAGUGACCUGUGUGAAGACAUGGGGAGGCGGUUCUGGAGCACCUUCAGGUACUCCUCAGGAACUGAUGUUUUUUCACUUGUUGUUUGCCUAAGGCCAAGUUCUCUUUACCCGAAGGCAUCAUUCAGCCCCCCUUGCUAGGUAAUAAAGCACAAUAUUUUGUAGCGCUGGUCA